AAUCCCCCAUAUCGCCCAGGAACGAACGAAGCCUAGGUCUGGUCAGGUACAACACCAAGAUCAAGAACCAAAGUAUAAGAUAAGGUAGCGGAAGCGAAGCUGCAACAGAUCAACUAAACUCCACAAGCAUCGUAUGGGGAUCAGGCCCCAGGGUAUCUCCCCGGGUUCUCCCUCCUCGCGAGCAGUCUCGAGCGGCAUCUCCACAUCAUGUAAGUCUAAGAGAGGGUGAAAGUGCAACGGUGAGUACCAACCGUACUCAGCAAGUCACCACUAGGAUAAUGCAUAUAACGAAUAAAAGGAUACAAGAAGGGCUUGGUUCAUUUGCAUAAAUCUAGAUUUCACAAAUCACAAGGCAAGGCUGGCUGCUCCACUGCUCCGCUCGCCGCUGGCCGAUUCAGUGCAUCCCCAUCAUUGUCGGCCUCAACGUCCAGCGCCGCUGAGGAGGUGGAGAGAUGAUGCGAUCAGAUCGAGGCGACCAGCCGUAGGGGACCUCCAUCUCCCUCCGCCAGCUCCGCUUCUCACUUCUCGUCUCUCGCCUCCUCCUUAUUUGGUUCAUGUCUAGGUGGAGGUAGGUCACUCGAAGCAAGUUCUGAGGUACAUCAAGAAGCUCCCGGUGGUACAUCAAGCUUGAGGUCAACAUUGUUGUCGUUGUUAGCUCGGCGAUGGCAUGGUGAUUCGGAGAGUGGAAAUCUUGUUCUUGCCGGACUUUUUUUUGGUUGGAUUUUUUUUCCUGGUAUUUUUUCCUCUGCUCCUGAUUGUUCUAGAUGAGAUUGCUCAUUUAAGAAAAAAUCCCUCUCAAAAUUUGCAAUUUACAUUUAGAUCCUCUGGACGUUUUGUCACCGUUUGAUAUGUCAUCGGAUGGCUGCAAAUGAGUAGGAAUACAUGGCACACUUUUCCAGUCAAGAAUCCAGGCCGAGUUAUAAUCGUGUUGCCACGUGGCCCAAUCACAAGACGUGGCUGUAACCUAGAAAUCGGUAUAUAAGAUUUCACAAAUCUAAGACUUAGCAGCUUUAUCUAAAAACAUCAUUAAGUUAAAGUUGUAUUAAACAGUGAGGGUUCAUCCUCACAUCCAGAUCUAUACCAUUUACCAUAUUGAAAUACUAGUUCACGAACCUCUAUAGUCUCCCUUCGCUACCUGUUUCCACGUGUAGGCUCCUGAUGAGUCGCCAUUGGCGGUUAUGUGUGAUUCCCGAGCUUAACCGACUUCCAAACCGUCAUUACAACACUAUGUAAGGAGGAGAAACUCUCACUCUCAACACACACAACUCAAGAUGGCCAUGCCAUGAUGUCACAACUAGAUGGAAUUACACUUACUUAAUGCUGGAUUGUGCUUUAGAAUUUGAAGCUGCAUUUCUUGAGCUUAAGUUGCAAAUAUCAAUUUCAAGUAUAAUCCAUCAGAUGACGAGUGGAAAGCGGUUGAAAAUGUUUGCAGGUUCUUAAAGGUAUUCUAUGAUUCUACCAAUGUUGAAAUCUGGGUAAUCAAGUCAACAUUGGUAGAAGAUGCAAUCAUUCUAUGAGGACAUGAGGUUCAAUCAUUUUUGACGAUUUGAGGUUCUUAAAGGUAUUCUAUGAAAUCUGGGCAAUCAAGUCAACACUUGAUCAAAAUUACUCAAAUGAAGAAGAUGCGGGAAUUGUGAGAAUGGUGGAUGUUAUGAAGCGAAAGUUCCAAGAUUAUUGGAAUAUUUCAUGCUUAACUUUGUCUGUUCCUGUGAUUUUAGACCCAUGGUUUAAGUAUUCAUAUGUGAAAUUUCGCUUUGUGCAAGCUUUUGGAGAUGUGGCCAAUAAUAAGUUGAGCGAGGUCAAGAAGGCAAUCGAACAACUUUUCUCUGAUCAUUCACCAAAAGUGAACGACCAAAACAAUGAAUUGACUGGUGGAAGAACUGAUAUUGAAGCAGGCAUUUUGCAAGAGAAUGUGCGCCAUGUUGAUUGGGAUAAAUUCUUGAGCGAACAAGACUAUUGCUCCUAAUGAGCUUGAGCUAUACUAUAAAGAAGAUAUACUGCCUCGAGUUGAUGAUUUUGAUAUCUUAACUUGGUGGAAGGCAAACUCACUAAAAUAUCCUGUACUCUCACGCAUAGCACAUGAUGUGUUUGCCAUUCCAGCAUCAACGGUUCCAUCUGAAAAAUGCUUUUAACACAGGAGGGAGGGUAAUCAAUGACUACAGAAGUAGAUUGAAACAUGAGAUUGUUGAGGCUCUCAUUUGUCUAUAGGAUUGGAUGAGAGUUGAUUGCACUUCUCUUGAGAUGGUCUUAUCACAGGAAGAAGGCCAAGGAAUUCUUUCUGUGAAUGGAAUUGUUGAUCUGGAAGGACUCUCAGUUUUUGCAUUAGUAAUCAUGCUGUUUACCAAAAAUUGUUAUGUAAUGAGACUUUUACUGUUCAAUAGCUCUGUUUGUGCUCUAGAAUUUAUUAUGAAAACUGCUA